GUUACAGGUGCACAAAUCCUUUUGCUACAAUUAUUGCAGCGCAGUUGGUGCAAACCACAUUCACACACCCGUGUUCCAUAAUCUGAGAACAUGCCCAAAAGGUGUGCAUUCGGAAACCCAAAUUUGAACUAAUGCAUCAGAAGUUGCACAUCUGUGAACGCUAUGUUAAUUCAGCAUUUUAAUGAGCGAGCACAAAUCCAUUUUACAACUGCUCGAAUCUGCUCCUGCAAGUCUCAGCUGUGGGUUUUUUUUGCAGUGCAGUUAGCAGAAUAGUAUGGAGUCAGUUUCCUGCCAUAAUUCAAACCUGAAAAAAAAAGUUUCAAAGGCUUGUAAGUCUGGGUUUGAAAACUCAACACCUUGUAAAAAAGGUUUUGCAACACUGAAAAAAGAGAUUAUAACCUGAAAAAAAAUAAAAAUAAAAUUCAAACAUCUGUAAACAUGA